UACGGAGGGGGCUAGCGUUGUUCGGAAUUACUGGGCGUAAAGCGCGCGUAGGCGGCUUUGGAAGUUAGAGGUGAAAGCCCGGAGCUCAACUCCGGAACUGCCUUUAAGACUGCAUCGCUAGAACGUCGGAGAGGUAAGUGGAAUUCCGAGUGUAGAGGUGAAAUUCGUAGAUAUUCGGAAGAACACCAGUGGCGAAGGCGACUUACUGGACGACUGUUGACGCUGAGGUGCGAAAGCGUGGGGAGCAAACAGG
rnacentral:rRNA from 1 species